rnacentral:snoRNA from 1 species
AUCCUUUUGUAGUUCAUAAGCAUGAUGAUUGGGUGUUCACGCUCUUGUGUGAGAUGAGCCGCUCACAAACCUGUUAGGACUUCAGCACAUUAGCCAUCUGAUA